rnacentral:rRNA from 1 species
AACGAACGCUGGCGGCAGGCCUAACACAUGCAAGUCGAGCGGACCUUUCGGGGUCAGCGGCGGACGGGUGAGUAACGCGUGGGAAUAUGCCCUUCUCUACGGAAUAGUCCUGGGAAACUGGGGGUAAUACCGUAUACGCCCUUUGGGGGAAAGAUUUAUCGGGGAAGGAUUAGCCCGCGUUGGAUUAGGUAGUUGGUGGGGUAACGGCUUACCAAGGCAACGAUACGUAGCCGACCUGAGAGGGUGAUCGGUCACACUGGAACUGAGACACGGUCCAGACUCCUACGGGAGGCAGCAGUAGGGAAUCUUCCGCAAUGGGCGAAAGCCUGACGGAGCAACGCCGCGUGAGUGAUGAAGGUCUUCGGAUCGUAAAACUCUGUUAUCAGGGAAGAACAAACGUGUAAGUAACUGUGCACGUCUUGACGGUACCUGAUCAGAAAGCCACGGCUAACUACGUG